rnacentral:rRNA from 1 species
UACGAAGGGGGCUAGCGUUGCUCGGAAUAACUGGGCGUAAAGGGUGCGUAGGCGGAUUUCUAAGUCAGGGGUGAAAGCCUGAGGCUCAACCUCAGAAUUGCCUUUGAUACUGGAAGUCUUGAGACCGGAAGAGGUAAGUGGAACUGCGAGUGUAGAGGUGAAAUUCGUAGAUAUUCGCAAGAACACCAGUGGCGACGGCGGCUUACUGGUCCGGUUCUGACGCUGAGGCACGAAAGCGUGGGGAGCAAACGGG